CGCUACCGGCGCUCGCGAGAAAAUUUUUCAGUAUCUCUCGAGACACGAAAUGGGUAGGCCGCCGCCGCGGUGAGCCGGGCAGCGCAGGACGAAUGCAAGCUACUAGUCCAAGUCCAGAAUAGUUCCUUCGUGACACCACUAGCAAGGGACCAAGAUGGGGUCCCAGCAGUUCUGCCUCAAGUGGAACAAUCACCAGUCGAACAUGCUGGUCGUGUUCGAGCAGCUACUGUCCAACGAGGCGCUGGUGGACGUGACGCUGGCCUGCGAGGGCCACUCUCUCAAGGCGCACAGGAUGGUGCUGUCCGCCUGCAGCCCUUUCUUCCAGGCGCUGUUCGUCGAAAAUCCCUGCCAGCACCCGAUCGUGAUCCUCAAGGACAUGCGCUACAUGGAUCUCAAGGCCAUCGUGGAGUUCAUGUACAAGGGCGAGGUGAACGUCUCCCAGGACCAGCUGUCUGCCCUACUGAAGACUGCCGAGGCGCUGAAGGUCAAGGGACUCGCCGAGGUGACUGGGGACAACCGACACGGCGUUGUCAGUGUGGAUGGUGCCGACUCUAGGACUAUAAGCACGGCACGCGCGGAGUCGCCCACCAUGUCCAAACGGAAGCGGGGAAGGCCCCGAAGACGCUCGCGCAGCGACUCCAAGAGUGACUCUGAUGACCAGGGCGCACCUCCUGCGAUCCGCAUCAAGACGCCAGAGUCGCCAGAGAUCAUUGAGGACGGCAGUCUGUCGAGUGACCGGGUUACAGCUGUGGCCGCAGAGUCUCCGGCGACGAGAACAUUAUCGUCGGUAGCUGCCACAUUGACAGCAGCGUCUUCGUGCGCGGUGGCGGCACCUAGUAACAAAGUGGCGGCAGGACUUUCUGCGACAGCGGCGAACAACUCAAUGUCGUCGCAGCAUACAAUGGACUCUGUGGGGGACGACACGGGGGCAGACGACGCGGACUUCGAGGUGGAGCCCUCAAACCUCUUGGAACAGUCGAUGACGACCGAAAACGUACCGGUAUUUGCGGCCGUCGCAUCAUCAUCAUCAUCACAAGCGGCGGAGUCUCAACAGUCUCAUCCCAAGGCGUCUGCAUCCGACAUCCCUGCAUUAGUUCAUGUUCCUGCCUCAUUGCCUUCAGACAUCUCCAUCUCCAGUCAGCUCGACAUCAAGCCAUCGCCAUCUAGUUUAAUUCCUCCAUUCGAAGAGCAGGCUCUCUCCCCCGCGGUUCCCCCGCAGCCGUCGGGUUCUGGGUCUGGGGACGGUUCGUCAGGCGCCAUGAUGAUGGCGUUCACGGACAUGUCGGGCGUGCCGGCCAUCGCGGGACCUUCCAGCUACCACCCGGACAACCAGCAGUCUACACCUUCCCAUGGUAGGUAUUCUCACCCUUCCCCCUCCCCCUCGGCUCCCACAACCCCUGAAAGGGCCGCCCGAUUCCUUCCCUCAACUCUGCAUUGCCUAUUGUGCAAAGUCGGUUGCGGUGACAGAUCGGUGCAGGCCGCGUUUUUCCACCGCUGCUAGGUUACCCGGCCUCUGGAUUUGCCAAUGUUUGAAAGAUGGAAAGAGAUAAACAAAAGCGGGGAAAACCUUGCAGCAGUGGCAUACGCUCCCAUUUGUUAGGGUUUCUGUUAGGAUGUCUCGGUAAACUCUGGAUAGGGUGUUACUGGAUGUGUAUGCUUGGAAUCUGUAUCUGUGCACUCACUGUAUUACACGAAAAGUAAAGGACUUUUGCUCAUGUCUCCUUUAUUACUUGUGUCUGGUGUCUUGCGUGAUUUACUCGUCUGCGCACGUUCGCGUUGUCAAGUCGUCGCAAGUGGUCCUGGCUGGGUGUCCGCCGACGAAGACUGCUUUGGCUGUUUUCUCGCGUCGCGCCGUGCUCGGUUUUGGUGCCUGGUUGGACUUCGAGGCGACUUCUCUACAAGCCAGGGAGACUCCAAUUUCAUCUGCUAGCGCGGUGGCUCCACUGCAAGCAACAACUGUCUGCUAUCGCGGGCUCGACUCCCAACGGUCGCGUCGCGUUUUCCCGUUCGCGUGUCGGCGGCACCCGAAGAUUUCGCUCCGUGGUGAGUAUAUCUUCCUUUCAUUCUUUACCUGGUAAAAAUCUAAAAGAAUUGUGUAGUUCUUUUUUUUUUAAAUCUAUGUAGGCUUAAAUUUUUAUGGUUUUGAUUAGGUCAUUUUUGAGCGUGCGCUGAAAUUUGUGCUGUAAACAAUUUCAAUGAAUUAAAAUGGUCUCCCUAUGCUUUGUCUUCUGUGAAUUACUGCUGUGUGAAUGAAGACAUGGUGCAAGCGAGUUGCCUGGGACGAGUGCUUGUGAGGGCCAUUGAGCGGCUGGUGUGUGACUGGAGGGGACAUGAGUCACUGUCGUUUGCACCAAAUCCACGUCACUACAUGCUGGGGUUCACCCUCGUGGACAUCGGGAACAAGUUAAGGGGUCAUUCUGGUAACCUUCUACACUACAUGUGCUCAAAUGUAAGGGGACACAGUGGGCAACACUAACACUACACGUGGGGUGGUGGGUGGGGUACUAACGUUCUUAGGGAUGGGUUUUUUCUGUGGGGUUGGGUCUCUGCAGCAGCGUCGGUUGUGCUGUCCUGGCGGCCUGUCCGGUGUUCCUGUGGUCCUACUGAAUUCGGUAAGAAUUUGUGGCUUGUGUUAGCACGAUUUCCGACACUGACCAGGUCCUUGUGGUCUCGUUUCAGGGUAUUCAAGGCCUCCCCUAGGUUUCAAGCCUCCCCCAGGUUUCAAGCUCAACAUGAGUCUGGGUCUUCUGAAGCAGCUUGCAGUGAUGGAAGCUCUUGCCUGUACUCGAUCUGGCUCCAUUAGUAGAAUUUGGUCUUAAAUUCUCCCCUUCUGGUUUCUCUCUUGUCAUGAGCCAAAUUAUAUCCUAGGCAUUGUAUAAUUGUAGGGAGCUUUUGAUGUGGAGGCCAGGUGCCUUGUUUGAGACCCGAUUAUGUAAUAAACGGGUUUGAUUUUCAUUGAC